AGAUGGAUCAUUAACACAUCCUUAUUUACCUAACACACAUUUUAUUUUUAAAACCUCAGCGAUGGAUAUCUCGGCUCUUGUAACGAUGAAGAACGCAGCCAACUGCGAAAAGCACUGCGAAUUGCAGAACACCGUGAGUCAGUAGAUUUUUGAACGCAACCGGCGCCCUCUGGGCAUGUUUGCUUCAGUGCCUCCUUUGCUUCCAGCUGCGAGUGCAGAGCUCUCGCUAAGUUCUCCCGUCCAGGAUCUGGCAGGUUGGAUCAAGGAUCAAAGAGUGCCUGAAGUCAAGCAAGACUACCCGCUGAACUUAAGCAUAUUACUAAGCGGAGGAAAAGAAACUAACAAGGAUUGCCUCAGUAACGGCGAGUGAACCGGCAUCAGCCCAGACUGGAAAUCGCUUCGGCGAGUUGUACAGUUAAGACAUAGACCUUACAUAGCGGCGCAGGUGUAACUCAGCUGGAACGCUGGACCGUAGAGGGUGAUAGUCCCGUGCCACUUGUGCCAAGUGAGAGGUCGUGUUCAACGAGUCGGGUAGCUUGGGAUUGCUGCCCUAAGUGGGAGGUAGACUUCUUCUAAGGCUAAAUACUCACAAGAGACCGAUAGCGAACAAGUACUGUGAAGGAAAGAUGAAAAAGAACUUUGAAAAAAGGGUUAAAAUACUUGAAAUCGCUGAGGAGGAAGCAUUGAGCUCUGCAGCGCCGGCAGUGCAACUAGGGACACGUCCCUGGGGGAGCUGCAGGCACAACUCCGUCUGAGUUCUCGUACUGCGCCUGAAGGCUGUUAGCCCACAGCGCCAGCACAAAGGGCUCAGGCGGAGUAGCGGUGCCCACUGACCCGUCUUGAAACACGGACCAAGGAGUCUAACAUGCGUGCAAGUAGUAGGGUGUAAACCACACUGCGCAACGAAAGUGAGCCUUGCCAAACUAGCAGCAAGGGCCGCGUCAGCGAGCUCAGCACAUAUGUUGGGACCCGAAAGAUGGUGAACUAUGCUUGGGAAAGGCGAAGCCAGGGGAAACUCUGGUGGAGGCUUGUAGAGAUUCUGACGUGCAAAUCGUUCUUCUAACCUGAGUAUAGGGGCGAAAGACUAAUCGAACCAUCUAGUAGCUGGUUCCCUC
rnacentral:misc_RNA from 1 species